ACUUUGAAUCAAAAUAAUACUAAGCAUUGUCAAUUCAUAGUGGCAUACCAAUCAAAAUGUACAUAUAUUGUCUAAACGUGCAAUUUAAUAAUUUACGUCACUUGUACAUAUUUACAACAAAAUGACUCGGGCUUCCAGCGGAGUGACCACAAUGAAGGUGUAGCUAAUGAAUGCCAUUGAUACCUACCAAAGAUACGAAUCUACAAAGACACCUCGACCUAGCUAUCGGCUGCCUCUUGAUCUGAAAAUAUGAAGUUGAAAACGGUGAGUAUAAACCCAGUGAGUGAACAAGAAGGGAACAAGCAAACAUUAAGAAAUGUUUAACGAAAUCAUGAUGCAUUCAUUUUUUAAAACAAUGCAAUUUGUUUUAGUUAUUAUUAAAACCCCUCAUGUAAACACCACAUGAGUAAAUCACUUAAUGAAAAGAGUCCAUGCUCAACAAAGGAUUUGGAGAGUGAAAACUUUAAUAGCAUUCAUGCGAAUAAAGUCAAAUAAACGACGAGUCUUCGCUGCAGCGGAAAGGCAUUCUCGCUGCAGCGAAGUUAGAUUCAAGUUAUUAGCCGAACGAGGGUUUCUCAACUAACCAAGGGUUUCUCACCAAAAUUCCUCAUUUCAAACUCAACUAAUUAAUUUCUUAAUGUUAGAAGUCCAUGCUCAACUAUGGUACCAAAGAAGUGGAAAAUAGGACAGCAACCAAACAAAAUAAGGAACAAAACAGAAAGUUUUUCACUGCAAUGAGAAUGAAUCUCGCUGCAACAAAAUUUAUGCCAUAAAAUAGAAAGUUUCUCGCUGCAGCGAGAAGCUACAGCAACUUUCUCACUGCAGCGAGAAUGAAUCUCGCUGCAACGAGAAUCAGAGCACCAAGAAAAGGUUUCCAUUCCCCUCAAGAAAAAGCCAUCCUGCUGAAAAAACAAAAUCAACAUGAAACACAUAAAGAUUUCCAAAGUUCAACAUGCCAAAUUCAUAUGCAUUUCAACCAUAAACCAUAUUCAUGAGUUUUCAUUCUCUAAACAUAUAUACAUAUACAUACAUGGAUAAAUACCAAUACCACUAUCAUCUCAUCUAGCUCAUGUGCAUCCCCCCGCAUCGUGCACAUAGCCGGAGUCAUCGUGUGCAACCCCCCACAUCGUGCACAAUUAGUGCCAUCGUGUGCAUCCCCCCACAUCAUGCACAUGAGCACUUUCAUCAUCCAACAUCCUCACCACCGUCAUCACCGGCAUGUGCAUCCCCCCACAUCAUGCACACGAAUGGUUAUCAUUAUCACACCAUGUCAGCCAUCAAUGCACAACAUAUAUGUAUAUCAACACAAUGACAUAAAACAAGAAUCCAUAAUAGCCACAUGUUAUAUAUAAAGACAAUAAUCAAAAGCUUGUUCCCAAGGUACCCAAUUUUUAGAAAAGUUGAAUAAACUCAUUCAAAGGCAUUGUACAAAUACAUUCACAUUCCCAAAAUAGUUUUGAAAUGCAAGUUCACUCACCGGUAUUCUAUUGAACCUUUAGUCGACUCUAACUUCCCUAAUGGUCCAAAUGGGAUGGUGUGGCUUCGUUGGAACCUAUCAUCACAUUAACAUCACAAUUAACUCAAUUCUCAUAAUUACAAGUUCUACAAGCUAUCACUUACUAGUUUUCAAGUGCCAUUAAAUGGCUAUCCAUUCCCACUAUCCUAAUCACUCCAAAGUGAAUUUACAACCUCAACUACCAAAACACCCACAAGUCUAAACACUAAUCAUUUUCAACACUAAAAAUUAAUUCUAGUUCACUACUCACCUUGGUAGCUUUGUGCUUGAAAUUCUUUUCGAAAACUUUCACGCUAUUAUUGAAGCUUCCUCUUUCUCUCUCUAAAACACCUAACUAGAGAGAGAGUAUGGAAAUAAGAUUUUCUUCAAGGGUUUUAAAGAGAAAGAGUGGAAGAUCACAAGGGUUUAUGAAAGGGUGCACCAAAAGCAUGAAAAGUGGAGCUAUUUUGAGGGAGGUUAUGAAGGUUCAUAUCAAGCUUCCAUGGAGGUUGGAAGUAACGUGAAAG
rnacentral:lncRNA from 1 species